CUGAAAUUUUUGUAUUGCAGGGUGUCUUUACAGG
rnacentral:sRNA from 1 species